AAAUGCAAAUGUUGUCUACGGCCAUGCCCGAUCUCGUCUGAUCUCGGAAGCUAAGCGGGGUUGGGCCUGGUUAGUACUUGAUGGGAGACCACCUAGGAAGACCAGGUGCUGUAGAUG
rnacentral:rRNA from 1 species